rnacentral:rRNA from 1 species
AAAAGACUCAGUCCUAACCUUGCCGUUAAUUUCCCGCUCAACAUAUACAUGCAAGUAUCCGCACUCCAGUGCAAACGCCCCAGCCUCUUACCAAGACAAAAGGAGCAGGCAUCAGGCACGCCCCGUCAACCGCAGCCCAAGACGCCUCGCCUCGCCACACCCCCACGGGUACUCAGCAGUAAUUAACAUUAAGCAAUAAGCGUAAGCUUGACCUAGUUAGAGCAACCAGGGUUGGUAAAUCUUGUGCCAGCCACCGCGGUCAUACAAGAAACCCAAAUUAACCGCACACGGCGUAAAGAGUGGUACCCAAUUAUCACCACCAACUAAGAUCAAACCACAAUCCAAGCUGUCAUAAGCCCAAGAUGUCCUGAAGCCCCACCCUAAAACCAAUCUUAGCACCUGUGACCUACCUACUCCACGAAAGCCAGGACACAAACUGGGAUUAGAUACCCCACUAUGCCUGGCCCUAAAUCUUGAUGUUUCCCAUACAAAAACAUCCGCCCGAGAACUACGAGCACAAACGCUUAAAACUCUAAGGACUUGGCGGUGCCCUAAACCCACCUAGAGGAGCCUGUUCUAUAAUCGAUAAUCCACGAUACACCCGACCACCCCUUGCCAAAACAGCCUACAUACCGCCGUCGCCAGCCCACCUUCCAUGAAAGCACAAUAGUGAGCCCAACAGCCCACAACCACUAACACGACAGGUCAAGGUAUAGCCCAUGGAGUGGAAGAAAUGGGCUACAUUCUCUAAAAUAGAUAACCUAACGAAAAGAGGCCUGAAACCUGCCUCCAGAAGGCGGAUUUAGCAGUAAAGGGGGACAAUAAAUGCCCCCUUUAAGUCGGCUCUAGGGCACGUACACACCGCCCGUCACCCUCCUCACAAGCUACCCCCAAAUUAAUUAAAACACUAAUAAGCCGAAGACGAGGUAAGUCGUAACAAGGUAAGUGUACCGGAAGGUGCACUUAGCAUAU